UUUGGUUGUUUGUCCUGAAGGAGAAUUAAAAUGUAAAUUGCAAUUGUGUUUGUGCGUGUGUAGCGUGUACAUUCUUUUGAUUUGAUCAGUCUUCUUUUCCUUUAGGUGUUGGCUAAGAGAAAAAAAUGGCUUCCAGUGGAGUUUUGUUGGUCCCGUUGUCUUUAUCCUUGUGUGCAAUGUCAUCUUCUUCACUGUCAUCUUCAUCGGCUUCAGCAGCAUCAUAUCAAAGGCAAACACUGACAUCUCAAAGAUUAAACAAAUGAAGAUUCUUAUCAUGAAAACUGCGGUCCAGUUCUUCAUCCUGGGUUGCCCCUGGAUACUCGGUUUCUUCGUGAAAAGCAGCGACAUACUGAACAUUCUCUUCCUUUUCCUCAACUCCCAGCAAGGAACCUUCCUGUUUCUGGUCCACUGUGUUCUCAAUGAGGGGGUUCGGCAGCAAUACAGGAAGUGGUGGCUGAAUCUGAAGCAGGGAUCCAAUCGUACUAACCCCUACAAUGCAAGUGCAGUAACUAAAACAACAUCUUCACGAUAAUUAAAACCAAAUUUAACAACAGUUCAUCUCUGUCCCACUCACAUGUGUGGUCUAGCUAUUAACAAUGCAUUUGCUAAUGCUAUGACGGUGUUAGAAAUCUAUAAUAUGGUUGUUACUAUCAAAUGUGAUAUACCCUUCUCCAAAUAGGUGCUCAUACAAUAUUAACGGUAGUAAUGGUAUGAAUUGUAAUUCCCUAUUAAUAGUAAACUGUAUUUACAAUAAAUAGUCCUUUUAUCUGCUCA
rnacentral:lncRNA from 1 species